AGAGUUUGAUCCUGGCUCAGGACGAACGCUGGCGGCGUGCUUAACACAUGCAAGUCGAACGGUGAACUCCGCUUGCGGGGGGAUCAGUGGCGAACGGGUGAGUAACACGUGGGCAACCUGCCCUCAGCUCUGGGAUAACUCCAAGAAAUUGGGGCUAAUACCGGAUAUGACUGCUGACCGCAUGGUCUGGUGGUGGAAAGAUUUAUCGGCUGGGGAUGGGCCCGCGGCCUAUCAGCUUGUUGGUGGGGUAGUGGCCUACCAAGGCGACGACGGGUAGCCGGCCUGAGAGGGCGACCGGCCACACUGGGACUGAGACACGGCCCAGACUCCUACGGGAGGCAGCAGUGGGGAAUAUUGCGCAAUGGGCGGAAGCCUGACGCAGCGACGCCGCGUGGGGGAUGACGGCCUUCGGGUUGUAAACCUCUUUCGACUUCGACGAAGCCUUUCGGGGUGACGGUAGGGGUGGAAGAAGCACCGGCCAACUACGUGCCAGCAGCCGCGGUAACACGUAGGGUGCGAGCGUUGUCCGGAAUUAUUGGGCGUAAAGAGCUCGUAGGCGGUGUGUCGCGUCGGCCGUGAAAACCUGUGGCUUAACUAUGGGCUUGCGGUCGAUACGGGCAUCACUGGAGUUCGGCAGGGGAGACUGGAAUUCCUGGUGUAGCGGUGAAAUGCGCAGAUAUCAGGAGGAACACCGGUGGCGAAGGCGGGUCUCUGGGCCGAUACUGACGCUGAGGAGCGAAAGCGUGGGGAGCGAACAGGAUUAGAUACCCUAGUAGUCC
rnacentral:rRNA from 1 species